ensembl:lncRNA
UCAAGAAGCAUCUAAAGAGCUUUCUUAUCAGCGAGAUGAUCAAACAGAGAUCCACUGAGAGACCCAUUAACUUCAGUGAUAUAGCAGUGACCUCUGACCUUCACUGGAGGCGCAGACAGAAAUCCUUUGAUCCACGCAUUAACUUUUAGUAUGGAGAAGAUACAUGAGACAGUGAGAUCUGUGGCAUCCUCUACAUCCCACUAACAGACUCACAUCAGUUCAUUCUGGACCGGGCCGAGGGAAAAGACAAUCCGGAUGUAGAUUUCAAGAGCUGAACUUGAUCCAAGAUCAUCAGUACACAGAGGUGUAAAGAAUUCGAGUAAAUGUAAUUAAUUACUGUACUUGAGUAUCUUUUUAGAUACUCUGUAGUUUUACUGAUUAUCAAAGAUAUAAGCAGCUUUUAUUCUCUACUUCACUUCAUUUUUGAAUAAGCAUCUGUCCUCUUUACUCCACUACUUUUGAAACGAGUGAGUGUUUCAGUUACACAUUACAUUUUGCACGGCACAUAGGUUUUUCUGCAGUAGUUUAUUUCUGCUACAAAAGAAGUGUACUGUCUACUACAGGAAGUACACAAAGUACUAUAUCUUAUGAGUUUUGCCCUUACUCACCCAAACGUGUCAACAAGGCUACUUUACAUUAAUGUAAGUUUCUUAGCAUGUAGUUGUGAAGUAGAUUUAGAAAAUGAACACGAUUGUUCUCUUCACAAAUAUACUGUUUCUUGUUUUUCUUACAUAUUCUCUGUGCCUUGUCUUGGACUUUUAUGUCACUUCCUGUCUUUUUAUCUUGUUAAGCUUGAUAGCCCCCUGUGUGUGUAUGUAUAUAUAUAUAUAUAUAUUUGUUUAGUUCCUUGUGAGUCGUUAAAUGUAAUGGUUGUCUGUUUGCCUGUCAUUCUGUAGUUUGUUCGCUGUGGUUUUUGGUUUAUUGAAAACUAAGGGUGACAGAGCCUUUUCAGUCACUGCCCCCCGUCUGUGCAUCCAAUUGCCUCUAGACUGCCGCCUUGCACCUUCCAUUACCAUUUUUAAAUCCAGGUUAAAAACGUAUCUUUUCUCCUUAGCAUUUUAAUUUCACUUCAUUGUUGUUUUAUUGUAUUAUACAGUAUGUCUUGUUUGCUUCUUUUCUGCGUUUCCUUUUCUCUUUUAAUUUUAUUUUACAUUAUUCAGCAC